GACGAACGCUGGCGGCGUGCUUAACACAUGCAAGUCGAACGAGUGGCGAACGGGUGAGUAAUACGUGGGUAACCUGCCCUCUCUUCGGGAUAAGCCUUGGAAACGGGGUCUAAUACCGAAUAAAGGGGGAUGGGCCCGCGGCCUAUCAGCUUGUUGGUGGGGUGAUAGCCUACCAAGGCGGUGACGGGUAGACGGCCUGAGAGGGUGAACGGCCACAGUGGGACUGAGAAACGGCCCAGACUCCUACGGGAGACAGCAGUGGGGGAAAUUGCACAAUGGGCGAAAGACUGAUGCAGCGAGAGCGCGUGGGGGAGGAUGGCUUUCGGAUUGUAAAGCUAGUUAGCAAUCGGAGGGUAGGUAGAGAAGAAGCGCCGGCUAACUACGUGCCAGCAGCCGCGGUAAUAC
rnacentral:rRNA from 1 species